GUCCUGCCUCCACCAGAACCAGCUUCCCGACUGAAGUGCCCGGCCCAACCCCGUCACAGUUCUGACCCCAGAAUUCUUCUCAAGGCAAAGUAGUUUCCUUAGCGGUGGACACAGCCGCUCGCCAGGUUCCACUGGUGAAGCCGUUUAACUCUGACCCAGGAAGGAGAGACAUAAAUUCACAUCCAUGAGCGGGAGGAGGGCAGAGAGCCACGGGCGCUCUUUUGGAUGAUUUUCCUCUCCACUGAAUAAAACAGUAAUGGCCUUCACCAGAGCCUGAUGAAUGAACACACAUUUCUGCUCUUUCAUUCAUUGUCAAGCCAUCGGAAAUUUGCAAGGGCAGAAAUGGCAUUCUAUAGAAGACUCAGCAGUCCCA